rnacentral:rRNA from 1 species
CCCUCCGAAGUUUCCCUCAGGAUAGCUGGNGCAUUUAAAAAUUAUGUAAAAUAAUCUUAUCUGGNAAAGCGAAUGAUUAGAGGCCUUANGGUCGAAACGACCUUAACCUAUUCUCAAACUUUAAAUGGGUAAGAACCUCACCUUUCUUGAUAUGAAGGUUGAGGUUAUGAUAUAAUGUGCCCAGUGGGCCACUUUUGGUAAGCAGAACUGGCGCUGUGGGAUGAACCAAACGUAAUGUUACGGUGCCUAAAUUAACAACUCAUGCAGAUACCAUGAAAGGCGUUUGUUGCUUAAAACAGCAGGACGGUGGACAUGGAAGUCGUAAUCCGCUAAGGAGUGUGUAACAACUCACCUGCCGAAGCAACUAGCCCUUAAAAUGGAUGGCGCUUAAGUUGUAUACCUAUACAUUACCGCUAAAGUACAUGAUUUAUAAUACAAUUUCGGUUGUUUUAUAAAUUUUGAAACUUUAGUGAGUAGGAGGGUACAAUGGUGUGCUUANAAGUGUUUGGCGUAAGCCUGCAUGGAGCCGCCAUUGGUACAGAUCUUGGUGGUAGUAGCAAAUAAUCGAAUGAGACCUUGGAGGACUGAAGUG